GAUGAACGCUGGCGGCGUGCCUAAUACAUGCAAGUCGAGCGAACAGACGAGGAACCUGCUCCUCUGACGUUAGCGGCGGAAGGGUGAGUAACACGUGGAUAAACUACCUAUAAGAAUGGGAUAACUUCGGGAAACCGGAGCGAAUACCGGAUAAUAUAUUGAACCGCAUGGUUCAAUAGUGAAAGACGGUUUUGCUGUCACUUAUAGAUGGAUCCGCGCCGCAUUAGCUAGUUGGUAAGGUAACGGCUUACCAAGGCAACGAUGCGUAGCCGGUCUGAGAGGGUGAUCAGCCACACUGGAACUGAGACACGGUCCAGACUCCUACGGGAGGCAGCAGUAGGGAAUUUUGCGCAAUGGGCGCAAGCCUGACGGAGCAACGCCGCGUGAGUGAUGAAGGUCUUCGGAUCGUAAAACUCUGUUAUUAGGGAAGAACAAAUGUGUAAGUAACUAUGCACGUCUUGACGGUACCUAAACAGAAAGCCACGGCUAACUACGUG
rnacentral:rRNA from 1 species